GACGAACGCUGGCGGCGUGCCUAAUACAUGCAAGUAGAACGCAGUUGCGAACGGGUGAGUAACGCGUAGGUAACCGCCUCAUAGCGGGGGAUAACUAUUGGAAACGAUAGCUAAUACCGCAUACUGUGAGCUGGACCUGCGUUGUAUUAGGUAGUUGGUGAGGUAAAGGCGCACCAAGGCGACGGUACAUAGCCGAGCUGAGAGGGUGGUGGGGCAAAAUGGGACUGAGAACAGGCCCCGGCUCCUACUGGGAGGAGCAAUAGGGAAACUUCGGCAAUGGGGGGAAGGCUGAACGAGCAACGCCGCGGGGGUGGAGGAGGUUUUCGGGGCGUAAAGCUCUGUUGUUAGGGGAGCGGUAACUAACCAGAAAGGGACGGCUAACUACGUGCCAGCCGCCGCGGUAAUAC
rnacentral:rRNA from 1 species